GUGGGGAAUCUUGCGCAAUGGGCGAAAGCCUGACGCAGCCAUGCCGCGUGGAUGAUGAAGGUCUUAGGAUUGUAAAAUCCUUUCACCGGUGAAGAUAAUGACUGUAGCCGGAGAAGAAGCCCCGGCUAACUUCGUGCCAGCAGCCGCGGUAAUACGAAGGGGGCUAGCGUUGCUCGGAUUUACUGGGCGUAAAGGGCGCGUAGGCGGACAUUUAAGUCAGGGGUGAAAUCCCGGGGCUCAACCUCGGAACUGCCUUUGAUACUGGGUGUCUUGAGUAUGAGAGAGGUGUGUGGAACUCCGAGUGUAGAGGUGAAAUUCUUAGAUAUUCGGAAGAACACCAGUGGCGAAGGCGACACACUGGCUCAUUACUGACGCUGAGGCGCGAAAGCGUGGGGAGCAAACAGGAUUAGAAACCCUGGUAGUCC
rnacentral:rRNA from 1 species